AUUGAACGCUGGCGGCAUGCUUUACACAUGCAAGUCGAACGGUAACAGGCCGCAAGGUGCUGACGAGUGGCGAACGGGUGAGUAACGCAUCGGAACGUGCCCAGUCGUGGGGGAUAACGCAGCGAAAGCUGCGCUAAUACCGCAUACGAUCUAUGGAUGAAAGCGGGGGACCGUAAGGCCUCGCGCGAUUGGAGCGGCCGAUUUCAGAUUUGGUAGUUGGUGGGGUAAAGGCCCCCCAAGCCAACGAUCUGUAGCUGGUCUGAGAGGACGACCAGCCAAACUGGGAAUGGGACACGGCCCCGACUCCUACGGGAGGCAGCAGUGGGGAAUUUUGGACAAUGGGCGGAAGCCUGAUCCAGCAAUGCCGCGUGCAGGAAGAAGGCCUUCGGGUUGUAAACUGCUUUUGUACGGAACGAAACGGCUCUGGUUAAUACCUGGGGCUAAUGACGGUACCGUAAGAAUAAGCACCGGCUAACUACGUGCCAGCCGCCGCCGUAACAC
rnacentral:rRNA from 1 species